AGAGUUUGAUCCUGGCUCAGGAUGAACGCUGGCUACAGGCUUAACACAUGCAAGUCGUGGGGAAACGGCAUUAUGUGCUUGCACAUUCUGGACGUCGACCGGCGCACGGGUGAGUAUCGCGUAUCCAACCUGCCCCUUACUUGGGGAUACCCCGUUGAAAGACGGCCUAAUACCCGAUGUGUUUCAUUGACGGCAUCCGAUAUGAAACAAAGGUUUUCCGGUAAGGGAUGGGGAUGCGUCUGAUUAGCUUGUUGGCGGGGCAACGGCCCACCAAGGCGACGAUCAGUAGGGGUUCUGAGAGGAAGGUCCCCCACAUUGGAACUGAGACACGGUCCAAACUCCUACGGGAGGCAGCAGUGAGGAAUAUUGGUCAAUGGACGGAAGUCUGAACCAGCCAAGUAGCGUGCAGGAUGACGGCCCUAUGGGUUGUAAACUGCUUUUGUAUGGGGAUAAAGUUAGGGACGUGUCCCUAUUUGCAGGUACCAUACGAAUAAGGACCGGCUAAUUCCGUGCCAGCAGCCGCGGUAAUACGGAAGGUCCAGGCGUUAUCCGGAUUUAUUGGGUUUAAAGGGAGUGUAGGCGGUUUGUUAAGCGUGUUGUGAAAUUUAGAUGCUCAACAUUUAACUUGCAGCGCGAACUGGCGAACUUGAGUGCACACAACGUAUGCGGAAUUCAUGGUGUAGCGGUGAAAUGCUUAGAUAUCAUGAAGAACUCCGAUUGCGAAGGCAGCAUACGGGAGUGUAACUGACGCUUAAGCUCGAAGGUGCGGGUAUCGAACAGGAUUAGAUACCCUGGUAGUCCGCACAGUAAACGAUGGAUGCCCGCUGUUGGUACCUGGUAUCAGCGGCUAAGCGAAAGCAUUAAGCAUCCCACCUGGGGAGUACGCCGGCAACGGUGAAACUCAAAGGAAUUGACGGGGGCCCG
rnacentral:rRNA from 1 species